GAUGAACGCUGGCGGCGUGCCUAAUACAUGCAAGUCGAGCGAACAGAUGAGGAGCUUGCUCCUCUGACGUUAGCGGCGGACGGGGGAGUAACACGUGGAUAACCUACCUAUAAGACUGGGAUAACUUCGGGAAACCGGAUCUAAUACCGGAUAAUAUAUUGAACCGCAUGGUUCAAUAGUGAAAGACGGUUUUGCUGUCACUUAUAGAUGUAUCCGCGCCGCAUUAGCUAGUUGGUAAGGUAACGGCUUACCAAGGCAACGAUGCGUAGCCGACCUGAGAGGGUGAUCGGCCACACUGGAACUGAGACACGGUCCAGACUCCUACGGGAGGCAGCAGUAGGGAAUCUUCCGCAAUGGGCGAAAGCCUGACGGAGCAACGCCGCGUGAGUGAUGAAGGUCUUCGGAUCGUAAAACUCUGUUAUUAGGGAAGAACAAAUGUGUAAGUAACUAUGCACGUCUUGACGGUACCUAACCAGAAAGCCACGGCUAACUACGUG
rnacentral:rRNA from 1 species